AUGCGGGGGGCGGGGGAUGGGCGGACAUGGAGCUGGCGGCUCCGGCGCUCCGGCGGUACUUGCUGCUGCUGGCGCAGGAGCAUCUCGAGUUCCGCCUGCCGGAAAUAACAUCAUUGCUCUCCCUUUGUGGUGGAAAAUUCAGUGGUGAGCAGGAAAUUCGUGUAAAUUCUCCAUUUUGGAUUCUCAAUAUUCCUUCAGAAGAGAUGGCAAGGGGACUAAUGAAACGGACAGUAUGUGCAAAGUCUAUAUUUGAACUGUGGGGUCAUGGAAGAUCUGAGGGGGAGCUCUAUGCCUCUCUGAAGAACUAUCCAGUGGACAAGAUGCUUCCAUAUCUACAGUCAGACUCUACUUACAAAGUACAUAUUCAUACGUUUAAUAAAACACUGACUCAAGCACAGAAAAUAAAAAAGAUCGAUGCCCUUGAGUUUCUGCCAUUCAAAGGAAAAGUAAAUUUAAAGAAUCCGGAACACAUCUUCUGGAUUUUGGAAGAUUAUGGAAUGAACCCAAAUAAUGUUCCAGAAGAGCCCUUUCAUCUGUAUUUUGGUAGAUGGAUUGCAGAUGGCCAAAGAGAACUCAUUGAAUCCUACAGUGUAAAGAAGAGACACUUCAUUGGAAAUACAAGCAUGGAUGCCUGCCUGUCUUUCAUUAUGGCCAACCAUGGGAGAGUAAAACCCAAUGAUGUUGUAUAUGAUCCAUUUGUUGGAACAGGCGGCCUUCUAAUCUCCUCAGCACACUUUGGAGCAUAUGUGUGUGGUACUGAUAUAGAUUACAACACAAUCCAUGGAUUAGGCAAGGCAAGCAGGAAGAACCAGAAAUGGAGAGGGCCAGAUGAAAAUAUCAGAGCUAAUCUCCGACAGUAUGGUUUAGAGAAAUACUACCUCGAUGCACUGGUUGCUGAUUCUUCCAGGCCAAUAUGGCGAAAAGGGAUGCUGUUCGAUGCAAUCAUUACAGACCCACCAUAUGGUAUCAGAGAAGCUACUCGCAGAACAGGUUCACAAAAGGAAGCAGUAAAGUCAGUUGAAAGAAGCACAGAAAAUCACAUCUUCGUUUCAUCCAAUUAUCAUCUAAGUGACAUCUUUUUUGACCUGUUGAAGUUUGCGGCAGAAUAUCUGGUGAUGGGAGGAAGAUUAGUUUACUGGCUGCCAAUAUACAGGCCUGAAUAUACAGAAGAAAUCAUUCCUCGCCACCCGUGCCUGAAACUUAUUAGCAACUGUGAGCAGAUGCUUUCCAGCCACACAUCAAGGCACCUGAUUACCAUGGAAAAGGUGAAAGAAUUCAAGUUUUUGGUAAAGUCUUCAUCCCAAGCAAGCCCCUGAAUAGUGUGAAAAAGAUCUUUGAACUUAUGGUUACUUGUGAAUCCCAUCCACAGAGAUGCCUAAGUUUCCAUUGAUUUCAAAGUUUAACUUGAUGCCCAAGUAUAUACUAAAUGGCUUUGUGGGUCUUUCUGUACAGGCAUGUUUUGCCAGAUCUGAAAUCUAGAGCGGUGUUGACACUAUUCUCUCACUCCAGAGAGAACAGACCAUUCAGAUUCUCCUCCAUCACUCAGCAGAGCUGUGACAAGGUGAAGAGAAAAACAUCACAACAUUUCAGAGAAUCUGUCUUAACCUUCUUCACAGGAUGCAACAUAUCAGCACAAAGACAGAGGACAGGGUGGUGAGGUACCUCCAGCACAUGCCUAGAAGAUUAUUUUCAAAGUUUUAUGUUUGUUCUUCUAGAAAUGAAUUCCUUUUCUAUGAUGAUGGAUAUUUUCAGUCUUAAAGGUAAGAGACUGGACUAUCAGAUUACUGGCUACCAGAUAUGGACAACUGAUCGUGUUGCCUGUUCCAGCAGCCUGUGAUUUUAUGCCUGUGCUUACCUCUGCCUUUCUAGCCUUCACUGCUACAGAUGGAUACUGCAGUGCUAUUCCUAAAUGAAAUUAGAAUAAUAGACUCUAGAGAUGGAAAAGUACCUAAUGUCCAUUUCCCUAUAGCUGCCAAACAUACUUUAUUUAUAGAAGCAGAGGCAAAUAUCUUCCCUGACAGUCUUCUACCUUGAAAUAUUACAUCCUCUUUAUAGUCUGGGCUGAGAAAAGGAGACCUAACAGCUUCUUGAUUUAAGGUUUUGCCAGUCUGUAAGCCUGCUACCCAAAGAGUCUUUUGGUACCAGUUACCUUUUUCUUUGUAGAUUUGGAGCAUCUGGAAAGUAAGAUAGAGCAGUUUGAAAAGUGUCCAACUAAUCUGCCGUGUUGUCCUCAGAACUGAGGACAACGAAACUGUGAUUUUAUAAACCAGGGGUUUCAGCAUUCACAGGCAUGUGUGUUUGUGUGUGUGUUUUUGUAAAUCUGGAUUCUGCAGAAAUAACUAAAAUACCUCAUUUAGGUUAUUGAAACGGUAAUGGAAAAAAUGCCCUGCAGACACUGUAAUUGUUUAAUUGGUAUUCAAUUGCUUGUACUCUUUCAGUCUUUAAAACAGAUAUCAAAGAAUGAACUAUAAAGUCAGAUGUAUAUCUCCAGAGACUUAAACUGUCCAGUUUCCAGUGACAUGCUUUAAUUCUUCUCCCACUUAGUAAUUUUGCAUUGGCAUGAGUUCUUUGGAUAAGAAAGGGCAACUGACCCCUCCAAAAUUACUCUUCUUACCUUGAACUAGAAAUGAUGGGAUCUCACAAAAUAUGUAAUCUCAUUAAUUUUAAGUGUACCGGCAUUAAUAUCUUGGAGGUGAUCCAAGGAAGACUUCAGCCUAUGCAGUCUUGCACAUGCUUAGGUGCUUAGCCAGUUUUAGAAAUUAUUAUAAGUACAGAAUUACUGAUGACCAAUGUUUUCCACUCCUUUCCCUGUUCCUACCACUCUCCCUUCCCCACAUUGUUACUUAGAUUUCAGUUAGUUCAGGUGCUCUCUGCAACAUAAAUAUCUGCCUGAAGAAAAACCCCAACAAACCCACAACAAAACCUAUCCAAAAAAACCUCACUCCAAAGCCUGGGGUUUUGUUCUGAAUGUCCCAAGUUUUUGUUUCAGCCAGUCCUUGUGAGCAGGGAGUCCUGCUGCAACCAGCUUUGAGGUGAUGUACCAGCAGCCAGUGUCGAGCCUCCUCUGAGCACGUGCCCAGAUGGGCAGGUAGAGGGGGAAGGGAUUCUGUGCCUGGGUGCCUCGGGCCAUGACAGACACACAUUCUUGCCUUCUCCCCACUGCAGCAGGAGGCCAUCUGCUUUAUUUUAUGUUGUGGAUACCUCUUCUGGCAAAGCAGGACGUUGUGCCCUGAGAUGCAGGGCCUGGAAGGACCAAAAUGUACCAUGUCCUUGUCUCCAGACGUGUCUGCUUCAUGCCAGUAAAACCGCUCACCCCUUAGCAGGUGGUAGAGCAGCCAGUUUCUUGGGCUGAUCAAUGGUGACCUGAGUUCUCCUGGUGAUCACUGUUCUUCUGGCAACAUACUGUGGUUAUUCAGUCAAGUAAAUGCUUAGGACCUCUACUUGUAAUGUACAACACAUCAAUAAGGUGGGGUAGAGAUUUAAACCCAAAGGAAAUAGCCUCUGUUUAUAUAAAUUGGAAGGGAGUUUGAAAUCUCAAUGUCUCAUCUUGUUUUGAUUUCUUUGUGGGUUCCCCUUCCUCUUUCCUACUCAUUACUUAUGACAGACUGAAGUUUACUGAGACCUUUCAUUUUCCUGACUCCUGCCCCAGAAGCAGAAACUCAGGAUGAGGUAGGAUCUAUGCCAGCCUCAGUUUCUUUUCUGUUCUCCAGUAGUUGUAAUCUGAGUAUUAACUACCUCGAAAUACAUACAAUAACAUAUAUACAUUGGAGAAACAGAUACAAAAUAUGGUUUCUACUAAAAUGAUCAAUUUAUUUAUUAUGGAAACCAUGAUCUUGCAUGUUAUCUUUGGUUUAAAAUAUGACUAAUUGUUUGGACAGACCAGCAGUUUAGUUGGAUGACUGGCUAGAUAUUGUAAGUUGUUUAAGAAUGAAGUAGUUGAUUUUGAUGAUAAAAUAUGCUCAAAUAUUAUUACAGUUGUGUGUAUGCAUAAAAAUUUAGGGGAAAGGUUUGGGGUUUUUUUUCUUUCUUUUCUUGGCUGAAUUCUUGGUUUUCUUGGCCAAGGAAAUUAUUCUGUGUUAAUCUGAUUUGCAAAGAAGUUGUUCAGCAGAGACCUGUAACAGCUUAUGAGAGCUGUUGGGGUAAUUCUGAGAUUAGGGGACAUUUUGUUAGAGUCAGAGGACAGCAAGAAUCUGAAGAAUAAAAUGAACCUAGACUUAUUAUUAAUUCUACUUGUAAGAGAAGAAAUUGUAAAACUUCAAAACAGACGGUCACUCAUAUACAUUCAGCUCCAUUUCUAUUGCGGCAAAGAUCUUAGGAGAGGUUGAACUGUAUGUUUUAAGGUUAUAUUUUUCCCUUCUUAAUCUUGCUUUGAAAAUCAUAUGGCAGAGAGCAGCGGGAUUUGUAAUGUCUUUGAAUAGUUUGAAAAAGGGUAGUAUUUCUCAACCUUUCUUAAUUGAAGAAUGGUGUAGUCUUAUAAAAUCUAUGAACCUUUCUGAAUCCCUCUCUUUGUUGGAAAAAAAGGGUCAGUAAUAAGUAAGAAAAUCUUUGGCAAUCAAGCUAAUCACUUUGCAAAAUCCUAGGUUAAUCUUGUAAUCGAACGAUUUGAUUAGACGUGUUGAUAAUAAAAAUGUCUUUAUGCCUUCCAGUAAGUCCUGCCAACCCUGAAAAACUGAUGGCUGAGGGACUGGCUCCCACUGUUUUCUCUAGCAGGUGGUGAUGCUUGUCAGCAAACCUGCUUGGAAGCUGUGGGUUUGUUUGAAGCAAGGUGUAGUCAUUUUACCAGCCACCUCCUGAUAUUGUAGAAACCCUCAUGCUCUGUGGACCUUGAGCUGAGUAGCAGAGAUGAAAGAGAGCAGAGCUGUGGCUUCUCAUGAGUACUUUUACUGCUUUUCUCUCCUUUAUAAAGUUUCUGCAUUUGAGCUUCAUCACAAAGUGGGGAUGCAUUGGAGUUGCUUCUUUACCAGGAAUUGGGGAGCAAGUCCAUUGUUUCCCAAAGAAAGGGAGGAGAAACAAUUCUAGAGCAGGAGAACAGUCUCUUUUUCUGAAUUUUGCCUGAGGAGAUGAUGUGCCUGAGAUGGGCCUGGGAAAAGAGAUGGAGAAUCUUGAAGGAGUGAGAUUGUUGAGAAGCACUUAGCAUGCUGUUGUCCUCAGGCCCUGUCUAGCCUAAUGGAACUGGCUGCAGAGAUGGAAGAAACACAGAUUAACUUGGUCUACGAAUCAAAGAUUUUCAGAGUGCUUAUAGUAGAAAUCCAAGGUGCUUUUUCAGCUAAUGGCAGCACUAGCAUUCACAUAGCUUCUAGUAUAAACUGGGAAAUCAGGGUUUAUAGAGCUGUAUUCAGAGGGGAUCUGUUAGUUAUGCCAUACACAGGUUUUAUUCAGCCUUCGGCUGCCUCGGAUGAAAUGAGCUACUUUCUGUGACUCUUCCUAUUGAAAAAUGAAGUCUAGGUUGUUGCCUCUAAAGUGCUGUGGACCUAGAAGUAAAACUGGAGCUUUGACUGUGUAUUUCUACCUAUGUCCUGAACAUGGGGAGAGCCAAAUCCUGCAAAUGAAGUUUACUGCUGGCUCAGUAUCUGAGUGGGGUUAAAAAGGAGGCAUUACAGUAACCUACUAUUUGGAGCCUGGCACUCCGAGUAUACUCAUCAUUUCUUAAUCUGUCUCUGGGUCUGGUUAUAAUUUGCAUCUUGAGCAAUCGUAUUCACUCUGCGUUUGCAUUUGUGUUUUCUUUUUCCAUUGUUAAACCUGUUUUCAUCUUACACAUUUUUCAUUCUUCUGCAGCCCAUGGCCAGUGAUAGAUGACAAGGUUCAAAUGCAGAAGGUCAAUUAGAUCAUCCAGUGUCCAUCUCUGCCAGCACAGGAUUAUUGUUUCUGUGGUCCAUUUGCUAUUGUUUUGUCCAGCUGAUUGCUAAGUGGGUCCUGUUUAUUCGACAGAGUUUUGCCACUAAUAAUAUCCCACAUAACCUUAACUAUAACAGGGGGGUAGUCUGGGGUACUGUUGAGAGGUGGGAGAUGGUCUUGUAUGGUCAGAAAAAUAAUCUGUUUUUUUAUUCUUUUUACUCAUACCAGAUCCAGUAGGUUGUUCUGAAGCACAUUCCAUUAACUGUUAAGUCAAAUGUCUACAUCACCAGCACUGUUUGAGUCCUACUUAUCUCAAUCCUUUCAGUCUAGGAUAUUCACAUAGCAGAAAACAUGAUGGCUAUUGGCAUGCAUCCUCAUUAACUUAAAGGCUGUUUUGUUUAUUGAGUGCAUGUUUGCUAGCAUGUUUGCAGUCAUUCUGGGCAAAGAGGUUUGCAGUUUGCUUUCCUGUGGUUUCAAAUUGCAGUGGUUAUCUAGUAGGGAAACCUGUCUUAAAGAGUUAAAUAAGGAACUAAUGAAAAUUACUCGCCUACAGAAAGAAAGUUUCACUGGCAGCCUAGAGACAGAAAUCUGCUGAAUCUGAGACUGGGAGUGAUGCUGCAUUGAAAAUUACUUAGUGCACUUUUAUCUUAAAUUUUAAAAAAGCCCUAAUACAAGUCUAAAGCAUAUAUAAUUCAUGGCAAUUUCAAAAUGUUUUUCUAAGGCUAGACUGUCAAGAUUAUUCUGAAUUGGACAAUGAGAAGUAUAUUUUAAUUAUUUUAAAGCAGGUUUCUUCAAUGCCUUAAGAUCUGCAGACGAACUGAAAUCAGUGGAGAGAUUGCUUGCAAGCAGUAUACAGCUGUCUGAAUGAUAAGAUUACCUAAACAGAUUCUGCUUAUGCAGAGACAUUUUAGUGUUAGCUGGGUAAAAUCACAUAAAUAUUCUUUGGGAUAGUUGUUUCUUGGAUGUAUCUCUCAGGUGAUUUCACAUAAAUAUUACUCAUGUACACUUAAUAAGAGGGCAAAAGGAGAAGGUCAAUUUCUGGCAGAGUUCUUUGUGGAGAAUGAUCUAGCUACUGGAAUACUGGAGGCAAUGGGAGGUGAAGAAAGAGCAAUGUAUCCUUAUGUGACAAAGAGUUACCUGGGUGUGAACACCUUCCAUCAGGAGCAGAUUCAGACUAAGCAGAGAGAUAUUUUUGCUGUCUCUGACUGUGGUCCCAUUCUCUUCUGCUGUGGUUUCUCCAGGGCAGUGUAAAUAACUUCAUGAUCAGUGUGCUGGUUUCUAGGAAUACUAUUCUAAGGUACCUAAUUCUCCCUGGGAAUUGUAUCUUGAGUGUCUAAUUCCUGGCUGAGGAGUCUACUAGGCAACAGGAAAUCUGCCGAUUAAAACAUUGCAACAUCUAAGUCCCUGGCUGUACCCCAGCUUUGCUGGAGGACCAGUUUUCAUCUGUUUGCCUAUGAAAAAAUAUACUCAGAUGUAUAUCGUUUCUCUUGCAUCAUUUAAGUGAUUCCUCAUGUUUCCCACUGGCUAUUAUUUUUAUUACCCACAUGCAGUACUUUGCUGCUUAUUUUGUUCAUUGUAAUGCAACCAGUAGCACUCUUGUUUCUUGAUCCCCCAAAAUGUGUGGUUUAAGGUCCCACAUUAGCAAAAGGUGGUUGAAGUUAAGUGGGCUUAGCCUUCCAGCUUCUGCUAUUUUGAGGUAGGAACUGGACCAGCUCAUUUACCCAGUGUAGCGGUGGACUGUCCAUCCUGAUUUACUGGGCUGAAUGGCUUCUGUUCCCUAGUCUUUUGUUUUUCCUUAAAAAGAGUUUGGAAGGGACUGUACUCUGAGUUGCUUGCUGACAGCAAUCAAUACAACACUAGUCAUCUUCACUUCUUCUCCCAUUUACUGACGACUCCAGGGUCCUUUCUUUAUGAAUCCAGGAAAUAUUUCUCUUCCUUCCCCCGUAGCACGAGCCGUCAGCUCACUAACGGCAGCUCUAACCUGAUGUCAGAAGGGAACUUUGCUUCCAGCCGCAUCCUCUUUGAGAAUACAGAGUAAUCCAUGGUCCCCUGGCCAAAGCACUCAGAAUUACGUAGGUGGAAGUGCCAAAUAUUUCAGUGCUCAGGGAGCCCAUAAAUUAAAUUUGGAAACCAAAGGUAAAUCUAGUCAACAUUUUUUCUUUGCUGAAGAACAAGUCUGAAUGUUGAACCAAAUUUGCAGGUAUUGAUGCUUGGGAAAUCCUGCAGUUCUUGGAAACUCUCAAAUUUAAUUGCUGGGUAGACUGUAUCUGUUCUUCUCCAGACCAUUUUGGGGAAAGAGCUUUUUCUGGCCUGGAAGGAGAGGAAAGUGUCUUGUCUGUGAGUGAUGCUCAAAGGCAACCAUUGGAAAAAGGCAUAAACCAACAAAAAUAAAUUGAAGUAUCCUCUGCAUCGGUAUUUAAAGACUGGCUGACUGACUCUCUGCUUCCCUCUGAUGAUAAAGUAAGGCACACUGUGAAGGACUGAGAAGGUAUUUCUUAGAAUCACAGAGUGGUUUGGGUUGGAGGGACCUUAAAGAUCAUCUUGUUCUAAGCCCCGUGCCAUGGGCAGGAGCAUAUUCUAGAUCAACUAGACAAGAUUGCUCAAAGCCCCAUCCAGCCUGAUCUUGAAUGCUUCCAGGGAUGAGGCAUUCACAGAUUCUGUGAGCAACCUAUUCAAGUGUCUCACCAACCUCACAGUAAAUAAUUUCUUCCUCAUAUCUAAUCUGAGUCUGUCCUCUUUCAGUUCCAGCUCUACCUGCUUACCCAGUCUGUGGGACACACAGUUUGAACACAUAUGCACACACGCACACAGACACACACACACACCCCCCUUUGCCAGGGAGAACCGGAGCUCUUUAACAGACCUUGUAGGAGGAAGGGGUUUAGAAAGCUUUGCGAUUGUGGACUUCAGUCUCCCCAUUGAAGCUGUCAUCUUUGGAUUCAAGGAUUUAAUUAUCAUAUUUGGAGGAAGCACUGGAAGAGGUAAGGCUGUCUCUCCAGGCUGCAAGACCUCUCUGGAGACUGUGGAAAUGUAGUUCCCACCCUCCUGCUGCACCAAAUCUUUCAGACAAAGGUAGGAACCACUUGUCCCCCUCCCAGUUGACUGUCACAAAUACUUGAGUUCACAUAAAGCAAAAGAGCUUGUGUGUGAGGGAAUGCGCUACAGAAGGGAGGGAAGAGUUCAUUUUGGAGUGGUAUAAUGUGGGAAGGGGAGGAGAAACUGAACAGAGAAGAUCAACAUCUUGCAAGAGGAAGGUGAAUCAUACCUAUUUAUGCUAAAAAUGGAUGCACCCAGUGCAGUGCUCAGUAUCAUGGUGCUUCACUUCUGCCUGCAAAGCUGGACCUCUGGUCUGUGUAGCUGGGAGACAGAUAAAUUCUGGAUUUAGAAGGACUUGUCCCGAGCCACAGGAAUAAAAACUUGUUUACAUCACACAAGGUAAGAUUUACUGAGCAUUGUCACUAUUAAUAGCAUGAACCUACGUAACAACUUACUCCUUUCUAGCUGACAGUUCCCUGGCCCAAGCUGAGAGUCCUGGGCUGUCAUCAAGGACAUUGUUAUGCAUAAUGUAUUAACAGCAUUGCUUCAGAUGAUUUCUGAUUACAACUCUCUCUUUGUUCCUUCCCAGUUUCCUUUUCCCAAGUCUGCUCGUUUCCACUCUGCUUCCUCUCCAUUUCUUCUGGCUGCUCAGUGGCCAAAUUUCUAGUCUGUGUUCUGCCCCAUAAUGUAAUCACUGCACUCGGGGCCAGCCAUGAGAUUCUGAAAAAAGGCAAAUGUUGGGGCCCCACUUUGGUGGCAUCACAAGCAUCUCCCAAAAGAAAGGGAGCAACUGCCUUUCCAGGCCAAGAGAUGGAAUUGUGGCCCUCUGUUUGUAUGCCAGAGCUCCAGGCUCCUGGCUACUUUCACUAAGUUUUGAACCAACCAGGAAAGCUUUACAGUAUACAUUAGAAGAGGGUCUGCUUUAGAAAUUGUGUUAGAUUUAAGGUAUGGAAUUCCUUCAGUAUUGGAAUUCCCCAAACUUUAGCAGUCAGCAGAUUUCAUAUGCUAAUAAUAUUUGUGACAACAGGGAACCUAUGUGGGGAAUAAAAUAAGGCUGGAGGAAUUAACCCAAAUUCCUAGCUUCUGUCUGUUAUAAAUAGUGCUGCAUUAUUGAAAUUUUCAUCUUACGGAUUUUAAGGAUCACAGCACUAGAGCAAAGAUGAUUGGAGCAGCCUUGCAUUGCCUUAUAAAUUCAGCUGCAUAAACUAGGAGGUCAAACUGCAUAAUUAGAUUUACUCUAAGCUAUUAUUCACAGAGUACUGUGUAAAGUGCAUUAGGAGAAAUGGAUUAAUUUCAGAUGCCAUCUAAAGCAACUGAUUUUAAUAACUGGACAAGUGCUGAGCCAAAGGUCUGGAUUUUCUGUUUAUCACCAGUUUUUUUGCUACUUCAUAUGCAAAUUUGAUAAUAUAGUGAGUGUUGAGGCCUCGUUUGUCCUUGAGCGUACGUGCAGAGCUGGCUGACCCCAAGGACAGGAACAGGAUACAUGCCUCUGAAGGCAUAAGGGGAACUCUUCAUUUGCUUUACGUAAACCUCAGUCUUUAAUGACUUCAGAGAGAAUGCUCAAAUACUUAAAUGAACAUUAUUCUUGAACAUGAAGUUUUAAUAGUGCACCUUUUAAGUUUGUCAUCAUGUAUAAAUUUAUAGCAGAUGAGAGUUUGUGCAAUGCUUCAACUGUUCCAUGACUAGGGAAUCCACCCACUUCACUAGAUCCCAAAGAAAUCAGCUCCCCAGACUAGAAUUUGCUUGGGAGAAACUAAUGAUGAGCAGGAUGGAUGUUCCUAAUGCAACUAUCUGUAUGCACUUUAGGAGCAACAGCUGCAGCUUCCGUGGUAAUUUUGCUUUUAGUUUUCUGUCAGUAUAAUUAGGAAAGAAAAGCUAGCUAGAGGACUGUUCUUAACCACAGCAUUAAUUUCUUAGGCUAGAUGCUAGUUGCAUGUCAAAACUGAAGUCUUUGUAGGUGGAAGUGAUAUAUUUACUGGACAAAUUUGAAAGCCUCAGAAUUCAAAAUAAUACCAAAAUAUUUCAAAUAUGUAUUUAGUCCAGUAUACUUUCAAUAGCGUGAAAUGCGUAAUAAGGCUGUUUCUGGUUUGAUUUCAAAGCAGCUAGCUUUUGUUUUCUGUCCGAAACCGCACAUCUUUGCAGUUGGGCAACUUCCUCACAGGAUGAGAUGGAAAGGAGCCAUGGAAGCGUAAAAAGCCCCUUGCAAUCUCUUAUGAAACAGCCAAUAAAGGAAACCUAGGCAUGGAUGAUCUUAGGUGCUUCUGCCGUUAGUGGUGGGACACCUGCGGGGCCAGCCGAGCCAGGAGCCAGAGACAUGUCCCUGGAAGCGCCUUUCUCUGAGUAACUGCAGCAGCUGAGCUGGGGCUAAAUUGAAAACAGAAAUACCGAUUGUCAUGUCACCCGGAUGCUCUGCCUCCAGCCUACCAGAUGGAGGCAAAAAAUGCUACCAGAUGUUCUUAUGUUAUUAAUAUUGUUAUUAUUGUUAUUAUAAAUAAUAUUUCAUAUUGACUGGCUUUCACUCCUGGCCCAUCUGGAGCGCACAUGCUUGGGAAGAGAGCCCCAGCAGCCUGUUGUUCCCCCAUUUCCCUGCACACCUGUAAAGGAAGCUGGGAGGACUCCGCUCUUUGUGCUGGAGGAUGAAGAAUGCAGGGGGCUGCCUGUGACAGGGUGCCCCCUGCCCUAGUCCCCUCCCACUGCUACAGGUACUAAUCCAAGCUCUGCUGGCGUCCCAGCAAUGCUGCCCAAGCCAGGCCUUUUUUCCACUUUCCUUUUUACAGCAGCAUGAGAUCCUUUCACGCACAGCCUUGUUUUGAGAGCUUUGUACUCGUACACACCCUGGCUUUAUAUGGUGAGGUCAAGCUCUGCUGAUGUUCCUGUCACUGGACAUUUUGCAGUAGGAGGUGCCAAUGUGACAUUCGCAUAGUCUGAAGCACCUCUGGCCAAGGUACCACUUCAGUGAAAGUUCUCUGGCUUAUCCUUCCAAUCUAAUGUUAGACCAGAAACUCUCCAAAAAUGUUUCUGUGUAAUUGCUCCUACUCCAUGUCACCAGAAAAAUGGACUGGCUUUGGAGGUGAAAAUGGAGAGUAUGGCAUGACUCCAGUGUGGGACUCGCCAUAAACUUCAUCAGAUUCUCUGUCUUAAUGAUGCGUCACCUACCAAGCACUGUAUAAUGUAAGUGCCAAACCAUUACUGGAGUGGAAAUUAUCCCAUUAUACCCAUUUAGGCCAACUGUCUAGGAAUACAGGAACGAGAAAAAAAUACUGAAGGAGGUGAUGACAGUGGUUCAUUAAAAAGGAUAAAAUGCUAGGAUACUCCAAAGUGUGGCAUAUUAGUAUUUGUAUAUCUCUAAGCAGAGAUAUGCUGUAUAUCUCUAGCAUAAAUAGAUGGAACUUUAUAAGUGGACUUUUGUGGUCACACUAGCUGUGAUUUUUAAUUAUUACAUUGUGGCGACCUACAGUUGGUACAGCACUUCCCAGGGAUACAGGAAGGUGUGCCUGCCAGUAGAAGUUUGCCUCCAUGAAAAAAUGGAUUACAGCCCUCUGAAGGUAAAGUUUGCCUCAGGUGGCUGUACAAACAGCAUAUCUCCCUACAUGUAGUGCUAUUCCAAGGGCAGCACUGCUGCCCAGGCAGCUGAGGGCCCAGUGAGGCUCUCAGUCACAACUCCCAGCCAGGGGAGUGCAGACCCAACCGUGGUCCUUGUAUUCCUGGCUAGAAACAGGAGAGGUGCCCUAUGCAGAUGCAGGGAAAGGGCAAUGCCCACAGUGGCUGGAGAGUCUCUUCGCAAAGGCAAACCUGGACAAGGGACACCCUGGCCAAAACAACCAGCUGUGUUCUGGGUGAAAUCUCAGUUGUUCUGCACACAGGAGCUAGCUGCAAUCACCGCAAAAUCAGUCACCACAUGUGACUGCAGUUGCUAUAGGUCUGUAUUGGAGCAAUUCCUUUGCCACUGGCUUCAGUAACAAUCAUUGUUUUUCAUCUCCUUUGAGUAAGGCUCAUCCUGUGCAAUGAGAUGUCCAUGCAAUCAAGUUUUCUGGAGAGUGUCUCCUUUUCUGGCUGAAAGGUUUGUUCAGGCAAAAUAGACAAGUUUUACAAUGCUGGCCAGGGGUUUUCAGUCUGUGACUACAUGAGGAUGUUUGGGCUUCUGAAAAUACAAAAAUUGUAGGGGAAGGGCUGGGGUCAUACACAUCCCCUCCAUGCGCUGCUGGCCAGAAGCCCUCCUGGGAGCAGCAGAGGCCCUUGCAGUCUACAGCUGCAGACUAAGCCCUUCAUUGCUCUACAGAGUAACUUAGUAUUUUUUCUGUCCCCCCCACCCUCCUCCUUUUCCUUUUGCACCUCAGGGGAACAGAAUCAACCAAGUAUAUAUUGGUGGAAGUGGCUUUUUCAGACACCUCGCAUUCCCCCACUACACUGCUGGAAAACAAAAACCAGUGCUAGUCUGAAACCAUAACAAAACAACGGGAAACCUUUUCUCUGUUAAAUCAACAAGGUUUUGCCAUCAAUGUGAGUAAGUCACAGACUUCAUGCUUGCCACCUAAGAGACAUCCACUCAUCUUAUUGAAAAGAGUAGCAAUUAGUCUAAAUUGUGGGCAAAUGAAAAGAUAAGGGUGUUUUUCCUCUUCCUUUCCCUGCUAUUUUAGAACCCAGUAGUUUUCUGCUUCAAGUGGAAAAUAAGGAUCAUUACUGUGUUCAGCCUUGGUUUUUGUUAGAUGCUUGUAAAUCUUGCUAAUUAGCUGUAGAAAUCAUAAAAGCUCAGCAUAAUGUUUUAAUCAUAAGCCCCUCCAGACACUGAUGUUCAUGUUGUUCCCUGGAUCCUCAUUUCUAUAUACAAAUUACUGUGCCCAUAACACUUUGGCAGCUCAUCUCUCAUGCCAAGGAUAUUUUCAACGGAAUUGUUGUUUCAGUAACUAAGCCACAAGCCUAAACCUGCAAAAAAUAAAAAAUAAGAGAAUAGCACUGCAGUGGAAGGUCCCCUCUCCUUAUACUGGUAGAAUAUUAAAGCUUCUUCGAAGUAAUUAAACACAGGUUUCAAGUAUGCAGGCUGGCUGGCAGAUCAGUGAAAUCAUUUCUCUUUUCCAAGAAGCUAAAGCAGCUGAGGAGGACAGGAAUCCAUGAGCACCACACUUAGAUACCAGUGCUAGCAUACUGGGGAUUUCUGGGGCAGUACAACAGGUCCAAGGCAUCAUAGACAUAGCUAUGAAAUCAAAUCUCAAAUUCUUAUCCCAAUCACCAUAAACGAGGUCAGCAUCUGCUAAGACACUGGAUAAUAAUAGCUUGCUUAAUUAUACAUUUUGCCUGUAAUUUAUUCCAGAUCAACUUUCCUACUGGCAGCGAAGGAGGGUAUUUUCCAGUUCUUUUAUGUUCCUAUGAUUAGUGAAUAAUGCCUUUGGUGUAUGUGCAUGCGUCUAAUUUUCACUUUCGACUUUAAUGCAAUUUAACAUCAUCAAAAUAAAUAUUAUUUUUCACUUUUCCAAAUUUUAUUUCAGCGCUUGUAAAGUAAAUAUUUUUCUUAAUGUGGAAUAGCCUGUGCCUGCUUCCUGAUGCUCUCUCCGAGGGGAAGAAGGAGCCCUCUAUUGCGGCAGCUGAGGAUCGGCCAGCAGACAAUGGUGCUUCUUUCAGAGGACAAGACCUUCUUAACCUGUGGCAGAGGAGCAGAGUGGAUGGGCAGGGAUACCUGUUUUGGCUACACUGUCAAAUUUGCCUUCACUACAGCCCAAAUAAUAAAGGAUAAAUGGGAUAAUGGGAUAAAA